UGUUAUUAAGCUACAAAAAUACUUUUUGUGUGCUAAGAAAACAAAAAUAACGACUUUAAAAUAACAUUUGUCUCUUCCGUUAAGGUUGAACCACAAAUGUCACGUUUUUAAUGAUAUCCUUACUAGCUUUCUGGGCCUUUAAUGUGUCAGUUGCAUUGCUGUCUAUGCCGGGUCAAAAAGCUCUUGGAUUUCAUCAAAAAUAUCUUAAUUUGUGUUAUGAAGUUGAACUAAGAUCUUACAGGUUUGGAGCGACAUGAGGGUCCAGUUUUUUUUUGUUGCAAAAACACCCCCCAAAAACGGACUUGACAUGAACAAGACCUGAUGUGAACAAGCCAUAUGUCUUGAUAAUUUGCAUACAAUGUUCAGCCGCUUGAAGACAUUUCGUGUCCAGCUUGAUUCCAAUUUACUGAGUACUGAACUAUACUCAUUCUGCUCCAGCCGAGUCACAGUGACACAGCUCGCUUGUUUUUGCCGGUAAAAUAUGGUGUGUUUUCCCCUCCCUCCUUUUGGAGCAUCCAGACCUGUAAGUUGAGGGUGUUGCAAUGUGUUUUUUCUUUUAUUUUGGUGCUGUUCUGCUGAGCAGACAGACCCUAAAGAGAAAUCCCAUUUCAAAUUAAAUUUAAAUGACCCCCCAAGCUCAUAAACAGUGGGUCGCCUGACAGCCUAAUUUAUAAUUCAGCACUGAGCUAGGGGCUCCUGGUUUGAUGUUAAGGAAAGGCAGCCUGAGAACGAGUCUUUGCAUCUGACUCUGAAGAACAUGAAACCUAUGUAUGUAUGUAUGUAUGUGUGUGUGUAUAUAUAAUGCAAUAAAAACAGUAUUUUUUGUUUUCAAAAAUGUGAAAUACUACUACAGUUUAAUACAACUGUUUUCUAUUUUAAUAUGUAAUUUAUUCCUGUGAAACAAAGAUGAAUUUUCAGCAUCAUUACUCCAGUGUCACAUGAUCCUUCAGAAAUCAUUCUAAUA